rnacentral:rRNA from 1 species
UACGGAGGGUGCGAGCGUUGUCCGGAAUCACUGGGCGUAAAGGGCGCGUAGGCGGUCUGCUAAGCGUGCGGUGAAAGCCUGGGGCUCAACCCCAGGUCUGCCGUGCGAACUGGUGGACUAGAGCACUGUAGAGGCAGGUGGAAUUCCGGGUGUAGCGGUGGAAUGCGUAGAGAUCCGGAAGAACACCGGUGGCGAAGGCGGCCUGCUGGGCAGUUGCUGACGCUGAGGCGCGAAAGCGUGGGGAGCAAACAGG